UAUCAACCAGUGUUCAUCAAUGUAUUAGUGCUGCUAAUCCACCUGUUAUAGUUCAUUGUUCGGCUGGUAUUGGGCGAACAGGUGUUUUAAUACUAAUGGAUACAGCAUUAGCAUUAAUGGAGGCACGCGAACCAGUAUAUCCGUUGGAUAUUGUGCGUACAAUGCGUGAUCAAAGAGCCUGUAUGGUGCAAAAUGUGAGCCAAUAUCGCUUUGUAUGUGAAUGUAUCUGUGCAGCCUAUAUGAAAAUGUCUCGAAAUAGUGCUUUAUUAUCUCAAGAAGAUGAUGAUGAUGACAUUGGUGGUGAAUAGACUAAUAUUUUUUGUGACUUUU